rnacentral:rRNA from 1 species
CUUCGGGGUACUCGAGCGGCGAACGGGUGAGUAACACGUGAGCAACCUGCCCCAGGCUUUGGGAUAACCCCGGGAAACCGGGGCUAAUACCGAAUAUGACCUCCGAUCGCAUGGUUGGUGGUGGAAAGUUUUUCGGCUUGGGAUGGGCUCGCGGCCUAUCAGCUUGUUGGUGGGGUGAUGGCCUACCAAGGCGACGACGGGUAGCCGGCCUGAGAGGGCGACCGGCCACACUGGGACUGAGACACGGCCCAGACUCCUACGGGAGGCAGCAGUGGGGAAUAUUGCACAAUGGGCGGAAGCCUGAUGCAGCGACGCCGCGUGAGGGAUGACGGCCUUCGGGUUGUAAACCUCUUUCAGCAGGGACGAAGCGUAAGUGACGGUACCUGCAGAAGAAGCGCCGGCCAACUACGUGCCAGCAGCCGCGGUAAGACGUAGGGCGCGAGCGUUGUCCGGAUUUAUUGGGCGUAAAGAGCUCGUAGGCGGCUUGUCGCGUCGACUGUGAAAACCCGCAGCUCAACUGCGGGCCUGCAGUCGAUACGGGCAGGCUAGAGUUCGGUAGGGGAGACUGGAAUUCCUGGUGUAGCGGUGAAAUGCGCAGAUA